rnacentral:rRNA from 1 species
UACAGAGGGUGCAAGCGUUGUUCGGAAUUAUUGGGGGUAAAGCGCGUGUAGGCGGUUCAGCAAGUCGGGUGUGAAAGCCCUCGGCUUAACCGAGGAAGUGCGCCUGAAACUACUGAGCUUGAGUACCGGAGAGGGCGGUGGAAUUCCCGGUGUAGAGGUGAAAUUCGUAGAUAUCGGGAGGAACACCAGCGGCGAAGGCGACCGCCUGGACGGCUACUGACGCUGAGACGCGAAAGCGUGGGGAGCAAACAGG